CUGCUUCUGCCCCAAAAAUUCCUCUUCCUUUUUGGAGAACGAAUGUUCAGCCGGCCACUACUGCCCUCCCGGUACUGCUUCUGCAACUCAGUUCCCGUGUCCUCAGGGGACUUACAACCCACAGCCUGGAAGCAGCCUGAUGUCUCGCUGCACCCCCUGUGACCCAGGUAACCAGCAAAUAAGCAUCUCUCAGGCUGAGGACAGGAGAAUGUAUGAAAAUGUGUCUUGAACAUUCCUGACCUUCAGCGGAUGAACUGUGUAAGGACAUAGCCUGUUCUCUGAAGUAUGUUUCUGCUUUUUUCUGCUGGUACUAAUGUCAUGGCAUUAGUAAUGCCUCAGGGCAUUACUGUGUGCUUGCAGGGCACCCACGCGUUACAGGACCCUGUUUGUCUGGGUUCUACUGCAGCAGAGGUGUUUCUAGUCCCACACCUACAGAUGGUCUUCUGGGGAAUGCAUGCCCCAAGGGAAAUUACUGUCCUCUGGGCUCUGCCUUUCCACAGCCGUGUCCUCCUGGUUAUUAUAGCAACUCAACUGGGAAUACUGGGAUUGAGGACUGUCUCCUGUGUGAUGCAGGUACAGUAUGAAAGGAAGGGCUAACGAGAUUCUAGCCAGUCACCAGCAUUUCUAGGGCUUCUGAGAAACUUUGUGGUAGGCAAUCAUCAACUGCUUUCUUGGAGAGAGAUGUUAAGCGCAGCAUAAAAAGACUGAAUCUGCCGCUUUUCCACAUAAGAGGAUACUCACGGUGAGGCACAAGCUUCUGUGCUGUUCCACUAGAUGCUUUUUUACUUAGAGAUGAUCCAAAGAGUGCUGUUUGCUUAGUUGUGUGUGCUCUGUACUUGCCCAGUGAAAGCAUCUCCAGAAGAACAGGUGUGGGCGACAUCAGACAUGAUGCUUCAGUGAUUAUUUUCUUGUUAUGUACUUAGUAUUGUCUGUCUUGUGUGGCCAGUAUCAUUAUGGUCCUUUUUGUUGUCCCUCUUCAGGGUACUACUGCAAUGGGACUGGACUUGUGUCUCCAACUGGAUUAUGUGAGGCUGAAUUCUACUGUAGUGGAGGAGCCAUUUCUUCUAAACCUCCCAGGACAACAGUCAGUGGAGGACCGUGUCCACCUGGACACUACUGUGUUGUGGGGAGCACCAGAGCCCGGCCGUGCCCUGCAGGGAGUUACAGCCCAUCUUGGAGCAUGGCACAGUGUCUGGAGUGCCCAGAGGGCUUUUACUGCACAGUGGCUUCCACAAACUACACGGAUUGCCCUGCAGGUCACUAUUGCCCCAGGAAUACACAGUUUGCCACACAGUAUUGUUGUCCCUGUGGAACCUAUAGUGAAGCUUUAAAUAUCUGGGAUGCUUCCAAGUGCCAGCUGUGUUCUCCUGGAAGGGUCUCUUCCAAGCCGGGUUUAGCAAGACUGGAUGGACUGUGCAUGCCUGGAUGGUUUUGUCCGCCUGGAUCCACAUCAAGCAAACCAGUGUUUCCUGGAAAUUACACUGCAGGCACAACAGCUUCAGCUUCUGGGUCUGUUGGGUUGUGCCAAGGACCUUUUGUCCUGCUAGUUCAUUUCUUCCUCUGCCCUGCACUCCAGGUUUGUCCUGUGCAACUGCAGAGCUCGCAGCUCUGUCAGGUCCUUGCGAGGCUGGCUUCUACUGCACAGGGAGCUCCACGCUCCCAAACCCCAUGGAUGGAGCAGUGGGGAACAUUUGUCCUCGAGGCCACUUUUGUCCUGCAGGGAGUUCUUCUCCAUCUCCAUGUCCCCCAGGUUCUGUGCCCCAGAAGACCACCCAGCUGA
rnacentral:lncRNA from 1 species